rnacentral:lncRNA from 1 species
UAGAAUAUAAGUGCCAGAAGUUCAGGAACCAUGUAUGAUGGAUGUCUCUACAUCUCAAGCCCCUAGCACUGGUGUCAACACACGUGAAACCAUGAAGAAAUGUUUGUGAGCAAAUGAAGCAAGGGCUUAGAAUUGCAGAUUUCUAACCCAACCCCCAAAACUGUAUUAUUUGAGGUGCCAAAAAGUGUGACAAAACUGAAAAGUUCUUUCUGAGCAGAUGGUCAGAACAGUUAAAGCACCAAUUCAAAUAGCUGGCAAAUAUAAAGGUAAACAUUUAAGAAAGUGAGAAGGAAGGUGAAUCCUCCAGAAGGAUUGGCAAAACUGUGUAUCCAAGAUGCAGACAAUCUGAGCAACUUUUCUGAUUUCACUGAGACUCAAUUUUUUUGAUUUCUGAAAUGAGAUAAUAACCCUAUACUAUAG